UACGGGGGGGGCAAGCGUUGUUCGGAAUUACUGGGCGUAAAGGGCCAGUAGGCGGCCAACUAAGUCGGAUGUGAAAUCCCCAGGCUUAACCUGGGAACUGCAUCCGAUACUGGAUGGCUUGAAUUCGGGAGAGGGAUGCAGAAUUCCAGGUGUGAGCGGUGAAAUGCGUAGAUAUCUGGAGGAAUACCGGUGGCGAAGGCGGCAUCCUGGACCGACAUUGACGCUGAACGGCGAAAGCUAGGGGAGCAAACGGG
rnacentral:rRNA from 1 species